UACGAAGGGGGCUAGCGUUGCUCGGAAUGACUGGGCGUAAAGGGCGCGUAGGCGGCUUGCACCGUCAGAUGUGAAAUUCCUGGGCUUAACCUGGGGGCUGCAUUUGAUACGUGUGGGCUUGAGUGCGGAAGAGGGUCGUGGAAUUCCCGGUGUAGCAGUGAAAUGCGUAGAGAUCGGGAGGAACAUCUGUGGCGAAGGCGACUGCCUGGACCAGCACUGACACUGAGGCACGAAAGCGUGGGGAGCAAACAGG
rnacentral:rRNA from 1 species